CCAAUAGCGUAUAUUAAAGUUGUUGCAGUUAAAAAGCUCGUAGUUGAAUUUCGGGAUUUAUCCGUCGGUCGGGCUUUUGGGUCUGUACUGGCGUGAUGGAUUCCUACCUUCUGAAUAACCGGCAUGUCAUUAAUUUGGUGCGCCGGGGAAGCAGGACUGUUACCUUGAAAAAAUUAGAGUGCUUAAAGCAGGCUUAUGCCUGAAUACAUUAGCAUGGAAUAAUGAAAUAGGACGGCAUGGUUCUAUUUUGUUGGUUUCUAGGAUCACCGUAAUGAUUAAUAGGGAUAGUUGGGGGCAUUAGUAUUCAAUUGUCAGAGGGGAAAUUCUUGGAUUUAUUGAAGACUAACUUCUGCGAAAGCAUUUGCCAAGGAUGUUUUCAUUAAUCAAGAACGAAAGUUAGGGGAUCGAAGACGAUCAGAUACCGUCGUAGUCUUAACCAUAAACUAUGCCGACUAGGGAUCGGACGAUGUUAAUUUUUUAAUGACUCGUUCGGCGCCUUACG
rnacentral:rRNA from 1 species